AUUGAACGCUGGCGGCAUGCCUAACACAUGCAAGUCGAACGGAGGUAGGGGCAACUCUACUUCAGUGGCGGACGGGUGAGGAAUGCGUCGGAAUCUACCCUAUGGUGGGGGAUAACACAGGGAAACUUGUGCUAAUACCGCAUAAUGUCGAGAGACCAAAGCAGGGGACCGCAAGGCCUUGCGCGAUAGGAUGAGCCGACGCCCGAUUAGCUAGUUGGUAGGGUAAAGGCCUACCAAGGCGACGAUCGGUAGCUGGUCUGAGAGGAUGAUCAGCCACACUGGGACUGAGACACGGCCCAGACUCCUACGGGAGGCAGCAGUGGGGAAUAUUGGACAAUGGGCGCAAGCCUGAUCCAGCAAUGCCGCGUGUGUGAAGAAGGCCUGCGGGUUGUAAAGCACUUUUGUUCGGGAAGAAAUCAAUGCUGGUUAAUACCUGGUAUGGCUGACGGUACCGAAAGAAUAAGCACGGCUAACUACGUGCUAGCAGCCGC
rnacentral:rRNA from 1 species